GACGAACGCUGGCGGCGUGCUUAACACAUGCAAGUCGAACGGAAAGGCCCUGCUUUUGUGGGGUACUCGAGUGGCGAACGGGUGAGUAACACGUGAGUAACCUGCCCUUGACUUUGGGAUAACUUCAGGAAACUGGGGCUAAUACCGGAUAGGAGCUCCUGCUGCAUGGUGGGGGUUGGAAAGUUUCGGCGGUUGGGGAUGGACUCGCGGCUUAUCAGCUUGUUGGUGGGGUAGUGGCUUACCAAGGCUUUGACGGGUAGCCGGCCUGAGAGGGUGAACGGCCACAUUGGGACUGAGAUACGGCCCAGACUCCUACGGGAGGCAGCAGUGGGGAAUAUUGCACAAUGGGCGGAAGCCUGAUGCAGCAACGCCGCGUGCGGGAUGACGGCCUUCGGGUUGUAAACCGCUUUCGCCUGUGACGAAGCGUGAGUGACGGUAAUGGGUAAAGAAGCACCGGCUAACUACGUG
rnacentral:rRNA from 1 species